UGGAAUGUGGCUUAGUGGUAGGGCACUUGCCUAGCAUGCAUGAAGCCCUGGGUUUGAUUCCUCAGCACCAU
rnacentral:tRNA from 1 species